rnacentral:rRNA from 1 species
ACGCUCGACACCUACGGGAGCAGCAGUCGGGAAUAUUGCGCAAUGGAGGAAACUCUGACGCAGUGACGCCGCGUAUAGGAAGAAGGUUUUCGGAUUGUAAACUAUUGUCGUUAGGGAAGAGAAAGGACAGUACCUAAGGAGGAAGCUCCGGCUAACUACGUGCCUGCAGCCGCGGUAAUCUGAGCGGGCUGGCAAGGC